AAAGUUUUCGACGCUAUUUUUGUAUGUGAAAGCUGAUCUCAUCAUUUUCUAAAAGUAGGUACAGAAAACUUACCAAUAUUAUUUAAACCUAAUGUAAUCUGUUUUGGAAUUCUUAUUUGGAUUUCAUGAUGUGUAAACUAACAGUGUUGAUAAUUCAGGUGUCUUGAUAUAUUUUUUGUUGUUUGAGUUGUUUCCCUUGGUUUUCCGCAAUAUCACUAGUUUUGUCUAUGUUUAAGCGGCUUUGUUUGUAAAAAGUUCAAAGUGUUCUUAAUUUAUUGGAAAUAUGGAUUAUUGAUAGUUGAAGUUACAGCAGAGAGAGAGUUUGACAGUAUGCGUGUUUGAAGAAGAUAAUGCUAUUAUUGGUACAUUCAAUUCCACGAACUGAGUGUUGAUUUCCUCGAUUUCAUUGACUCGAUGAUUCAUUCUCUGAUUGAUGAUUUGUUGAAUGUUGAUUGAAUGUUCUAAUGAUCAAUCAACUUAUUGAUUUACUGAUUGAUUGGACAUGUCAUGGAGCUUAAUAUAGAUGGAGAAGUAACUUAGACGUCAUACAGUUAAAUUCAGUAUUAUUGGGGUUGUUCUAACGCAAGUUAUCAUGUGUUUCGGGAUUUUCCAAGAUUUGUUGCAUCCUGGGUAAUAGUAGCCAAAAUACCGCCAUAUUGAAUUCCAAGAGGAACAUUGACAAAAAAAAGACGAAGCAUUUUCUACUUACAUAAGAAGCAAUAGUUAUUUAUGUUAAAACGUACCAUACACACUUUUCCACACAGAUAUUUCUCAAAAAAAAAAAAAAACAAUGUCGGCAAUGUAAACAGUAGUUCAUGGAUAUCGCCGAAGUUUAACGAGAGUGCGAGAAUCGGGGACUAGUGGGAAAACCCGAUUAUUACCGAAGCGCACUGUGGAUCUGAAUCUGACUAUCAACUAUUUUCUGAGCUUCCUAUCCAUUGUAUAUAUAUCUGUGGUAUCUGUGGACAUGUAAGACGAAUAUAUGUGAACUGUAAGAUGUUGAAAUGUGCAAAGUUGUUUGUUUAGAAGAGAAAAACACAAUUUUUGGAGAAACUUUUUGUUUGAAUGAUCAAGGUAUAAACACUUUUU